rnacentral:tRNA from 2 species
GCGCGCUUAGCUCAGUUGGUAGAGCAAUCGCUUUACACGCGAAAGGUCGGGGGUUCGAGCCCCUCAGCGCGCACCA